CCGCCGGUGGCCAAGCCGGUUAAGGCACCUGCCUUUUAAGCAGGGGAUGCGUGAGUUCGAAUCUCACCCGGCGGACCA
rnacentral:tRNA from 1 species